GCCCGGUUUUUUUGUUUGCCCAGUCAGUCAGUCAGUCAGUACGUUGGCAGGUGGGUGGAUGAGGCCAGCUGGGAUGAGGAAAGAGGAAAGGCCUCGCUCGGACUCGGAGGCAAGCCUGGACUUUGCCGAGGAGUCCCUGGGCCGCCCACUCGAUAGGAAACAGACGAGGCUUUUUUGCCUUUGGGGAGGUGGGGCCCGCAGUCUGACGCGGCACCUGAGGAGAAAGAACUGGAAGCGGGUAGUCGGGUGGGCCUAAGCGGCCUCCUUCGCUCGAGCGGGGGAGUCGUGGUAAAUGAAGAAUUGCCGCCCCCUCGCGAGUGAGGAGCCUUGAAAAUGGUGCGAACUUAUAAACCUAAGACUGAUAGAGGAAGUAUCGAUGAGGAGAACAUAAAGACUGCUAUAUCUGAAGUUAAUCAAAGAGAUUGUCUAUAUGGAGGGCAGCUGACAAAUACAGGAUCAAAGCUGCAACUUUGCAACAUCGCAUUGAAAAUUUUCGAAAAACUUCUGAAGAAAAUGAAGCGUCAUCUUCUAAUAUAUAUGGGUCCAAGUACACUGUUGCACAGGUUUUCUCAACUGAACAAGAGAAAGUGUUUACUGAAUAUUUAUUGAACUGUAGUUAAAUGCACUACAGGCUGUCUUUGUUUUGGCUUAUGAAUAUGCAGAAUAUUUGGGGUGUAGAUAUCCGGAAUUUGGGGUGUAGAUAUCCGGAAUCCUGGGGGGAAAAAAGAUGUGCUGGGAAAGAUUGGGCAGCAGGAUUUAGAAAGAGGAAUCGGGAUCGAAGCCCCAGAAAGCCAGAAAAUAUGAGUGCAACACGAAGUCUUGUGUUCAAUAAAACUGCAGUCACUGAUUUUUUUUUGACAAUUAUGAAUGAGUAAUGACGCACUACAAAUUUACGCCUGAUGAUUUCGCACCAAUGCAAAUGUUAGAUUCAAGUCCUCAAGAUAUUGCCGAUGUUACGGAUGUGACAAAUGAAGGAAAUACAAAAGAGCUAGGUUUUGUGGACAUGGAUAUUAGCCAAAAUGAUGAGGUUCCCAAAAACUCUGAAGACAACGAGAUACCAGUUGUUGAAGCCAACCCCCUUGGGAACCGAUUGGAAGAGGAUGUAACAUCUCCUAAGGUCGUUCUGCCAGGCUCUACACCAAUAUUGUCCCCUGAAGUAGUUAGACCAUAUAUAAAAAAGUCAUUGGUAAAAGUACUUCCUCCUCGAAGAGUGGACGAGAGAAAGGAAAUCGAGAGUCUUCACUGAUACGCCCAAAAAAGAUAGAUUAUGUAUAGACUGAUGUAAAGAGGUACAUCAGUGAGAAAGAUAUCCCUCUUGAGAACAUUCUGGACUGUGCUACUCAUGGUCUGCUUCUAUGACACGUAGAUACAGAGGAUUUAUUGCAUAUUUUAAAGGUGUGGCAGAAGUAUUCUAUAUUCACUACGUAGUUCACCGACAACACUUGGUUUCAAGAUCGCUAGCAGGGUGCUUGCAUGAGUCUACAAAUUUUAAUAAAAGCAGUAAAUUACGUUAAAUCAAAUGCACUUCAAGAUCACCUGUGAAUUAUUUACUCAGCCUAGCGCAGAAUUGCCUUAACAUAACGAACAGAGGUGAUCUUGGUUAUCCCUCACAGCAAUAGAACUGAAUAUUAAAAAGUUUGUUUCUGGUCAUCAAACACAAGGGUCACAUUGACUGAGAAAUACUUAAAGUAUACAUUUUUAUGUAAUAUUUUGUAUUAUAAAUAAAACAUGUUCUAUUUACAAAUAAAACAUUUGAAUAGCUA